UGAAGUACCCUUAAUGGGUGUUAUGGAGUUCCAAUGGUCCGUCACAAAGGACGCCAAGAAGAUUAUUAUAUCCAUCGGUUUAGCGUUCGGUUCACCUGAUGACGGAGAACGUUGGUCCUGCGGCGGCUAGGGUUCUGCUGCGAACCCGAUAAUGGUGGUGAUCAGAGGUUGUCGGGUAUGCGCGAUGCUCUUCUCCUAUUUCUUUGAUUUUUUGGUUUGGUUUGUUGCGAAUGUUGGCUUUUCGCCUCAGUCAAUAGAGCAUCAGGCGGCUUAUGGGCCACAACCUUGGCGGUGCAAGCGUUCAGCAACUGCACCAACUAGAGAAACAACUAACUGAUGGCUUAGUUUUAAUCAAAGAAAAUAAGGUUUUGAUCUAUCUUUAAAUUAAUGGGAAUUUAAUAAAUUUUUAGUUUGUGAAUCUUGUGUUCAUGAUGCUAUGCUGUUUGAGGAGAUUGAACAUUCAAAUCGCAAAGGAACGAGAACUUGCUUAUGAAACGAUGUUCUUCAAGGAGAGAUGGAAAACUUAAAGUGCUUCAUACAGUUGACUCGACAACCUGGUCAACUUGGUUUCCUAGAAUACACUCAUGUUGUUGUUCCAAUAGCAGUGCUGCCCACUCGAAGCAUGACCGGGUUUUGCCGGAUACCGUAUGCUACUAUGGAUCCGAUGACACCGAUUCAGAAACAACACUUCAGUUGAGUUAUGCAAAACUGGAAGUGGGUCAAAACAAGACUUGGUCAAAACUGGCAAACUCGAAUUAAAAAUUUAACUGAUUAUUAUUCAAAAUGAAGAUCAGGAGGCAAAAAGAGAGGAGGAUGAGAGGUGGUCUAAUAAUUCAUCUAAAGUGACCAAAAUACCCAUACUUUAUGGUUUUGAAAUCGAAUUGUAUAACUUAUCACAGCAAAGCAAAGCAAACAAAUACUAUCACUUUCAUUCUAAAUUCCUAAACCAAACACACCCUUAUAUCAUAAAGUGGUCUUAGAAUAUAUGCAGAAAACAACAUAAAACAUCAUGGACUAUAUUUAUGGGUGUAUCUUGACCCAGACAUUUAGUAUAUAUAUCGGAUUUGUUUUGGAGCCCAAAGGACCACAACAUCUAUUAGAAUAAAUAAUCAACUCGAAUCCUGUAUCAGGGAAGAAUCUUUUGUCACUUAAAAUCUUGCUACCAUUGUAACAGUUCUACCUGCUUCAGAAUGUGGAACUCUUUCCAAAUGUGCCAUUGUUUCUUGAAAGCGUCUCUUUUAUGCAUAUUCUUCUAACAAAUUCAAUUGAACAUGUUUUGCAGUCUGAAGUGUCAGUCCUAUUCCCGAGCCUACAUCGACUUUAAACGACCAGAGGAUGUUAUCGAGUUUGCAGAGUUCUUUGACGGCCAUGUGUUUGAUAAUGAGAAGGGUAAUACCAACCAUCUACAUUUAAGGGGUCAAAUGUCAUUACUGGUGGUAGGGUUUUUUUUCACUAUUUUGAACAUUUUGGCCAAGCUCCGCCGCUGCAUAUGUUGGUGAGGCUCUCUCUAGAUUGGAUGUUUUCAUAACACGUCCCGAUGCAUUACACCCGGAUAAUGUAAAGUAAUGGCUAAUGACAAUGCUAUUUUGAAGGGAAAACUGGGCGACUCAAUUGAAUCCGAGCUUCGUUUUAUCAUACCUCUGAGAACUGCCUGUAUUUUGUUGGAAAAUGACCUCUUUGUUGGAAAAUGCCAGUAGAUAUUAUAUGUUUGUGAACAUAAUCCCUGCAAACAUCACGAAUCUGAAGAUCAAACAUCAAUACGAAGAUCAAACAUCAAUCGGAAGAUCAAACAUCAAUCGGAAGCGGACCGGCAGUGGUGGUCGACGACGGCGAUGGCGGACCGCAGUGGUUGGGUUCGACGACGGCGGGUGGUUGGGUUAGACGAUGGCGGCGGUUGGGAACCAUGAGAUUUUACUGUCGGGUGGUUGUGUUCGACGACGGCGGUGGCGAACCGGCAGUGGUGGUGCCGGAAUCGGAGAAGAAGAUGAUACAGAGAUGUAAGGAUUAUUGAAUGGUGUUAUUUUUUA